rnacentral:lncRNA from 1 species
UAAAAAUAAUAGCAACAAUAUACAAAUCAUUGAAAGACAAUAAAGAACUUACCUUCUUGUCAUUCGUCGUCCAUUGUGAUAUCAUUGUUACAAGGCAAGGAAAUAGGUUUGAAACAAAGUUGUCGAAAGCCAGAACGUUUAACUACUUGGUAUACGAAGUUGUAAAGAAUUUUAAUAGGGUUAAUUUCAAACCAGUCCCCAUUAAGUCAAAAUAUAACAAUCAACUCUAUUUAUUUUGAAAGUACUCAUCAAGCCACAAAAUUAUGAAAUCAACCUUAAUUCCUUAUGUUCGAUUUUUCCUCUUGAGUAUCAAUGCAAGAGUCAAAAUAAUAGCUAUAUCAAAAUUUUGUAGAAAAAGUCAAAAUAAUUGCUACAUCAAAAUUUUGUAGAAAUAUUCCUCAAAGACUGACAAAAAAUUCACUCAUACCGCAUCAUUUAUCAGCUCCAAGCUUCUUUUGUAACAUAAAUCUUGUCCAUGUCCUUUCAUGUAAUCAAAGAUUGUGAUUAAUGAUUUAUUUUGUAACAUAAAUCUUUGAUAUGAUGAAUUAAUGAUUGUGAUUAAUAGAUUUAGCCAUUUGUUUUACUACUAGAUCUUUAUCUACACAAUAAAAAUGGUGCAGCCAAUUAUGAUAAACAACAACUAAUAUUUAAUAGAGUUGUAUUUUUCAAAUAAGUAAAAUGUUUAAAAACCUAAAUCCAGAACCGACAAUGAAAAGAAUAAAUCAUUCAUAUAACAUAAUUAAAAUUAGUUAGCAAAAUCUAAAUUUACUAAUUGGCAUGUGCGGAUGUGAAGGUGAUUGAUCAUCGGUCCAUCAGAUCCUUAAUUGCUCAAUGUGCAAGAGCCUAUUAAUCUGAACAAUUGAAAUGAAAUCAUCUUCAUUACAAACCAACCAAAAAGAAUGAAUCAAUAAGACAAACACGGCUCUUACACAUUAUACCAACAAGUGAUAUCACCAAAUCUAUGGCUAACUUCAAAAAGCUUAUUGUACACGUCCAAUUUAUUGACUUCCCAGAUGAAAUAAAAGACCUCAUUUAGAAAAUAUGUUAGUAUACGCUUGACUUUCCUCUUGCUCAACAAUAUAGAAAACAAAAUUCCUAUUGAACAAAUAAGUGAGUGAAACAAGUGAAUUGAAAAUUACCAAAAUAGAUGAUCAUUAAAUUGCUUAACACAUGGUUUCUUCCACCAACAACCAAGUAACUGACAUAGCAAUAGGUAAGAACUACCUUUUUAAUUUGCUAGGCAAUUGAGAAUUGGAAAUUGCUUCUAAUUAAUUUUAUGUAAAACAACAAUUAUAAUUGCAAUAAUUAAUGAACAACUAAUACAAACCAUGAAACAUAACAGGAGAAAAGAAAAAGCAAGAAAUAGAUAGUUAAAGAGAACAUAAUCUUAACAUGUUGCAGGCUCUUGGG